ensembl:snRNA U2 U2 spliceosomal RNA
AUCGCUUCUCGGCCUUUUGGCUAAGAUCAAGUGUAGUAUCUGUUCUUAUCAGUUUAAUAUCUGAUACGCCCCCGAUUCGGGGGCAACGUAUUAAACGCAUUUUUAGAACAGGGAGCUGAAUAAGGGGCUCGCUCCGUUCGCUCCACGCAUCGACCCGGUAUUGCAGCGCCUCCGGGAACGGUGCUCCCUUU